GACGAACCGUGCGAACGUUAUUCGGAAUCACUGGGCUUAAAGCGCGUGUAGGCGGGAAGGUACGUCCGUCGCUGAAAUCCCCGGCUCAACCGGGGAACGGCGCGGAUACGGCCAUCCUGGAGGGCGUAGGGGGACCUGGAACUUCCGGUGGAGCGGUGAAAUGCGUUGAGAUCGGAAGGAACGCCCGUGGCGAAAGCGAGGUCCGUGGACGCCUACGUGACGC
rnacentral:rRNA from 1 species